GACGAACCGUCCAAACGUUAUUCGGAAUUACUGGGCUUAAAGGGUGCGUAGGCGGCGCGGAAAGUUGGGUGUGAAAGCCCUCGGCUCAACCGAGGAAUUGCGCCCAAAACUACCGUGCUUGAGGAAGAUAGAGGUGAGCGGAACUCAGGGUGGAGCGGUGAAAUGCGUUGAUAUCCUGAGGAACACCGGUGGCGAAAGCGGCUCACUGGAUCUUUUCUGACGCUGAGGCACGAAAGCUAGGGUAGCGAACGGG
rnacentral:rRNA from 1 species